UACAGAGGUCUCAACCGUUGUUCGGAUUCAUUGGGCGUAAAGGGUGCGUAGGCGGUCGCGCAAGUCGGAUGUGAAAUCUCAGGGCUCAACCCUGAAACUGCAUUCGAUACUGCGUGGCUCGAGUGCUGGAGAGGAGACUGGAAUUUACGGUGUAGCAGUGAAAUGCGUAGAUAUCGAGAGGAACACCUGCGGCGAAGGCGGGUUGCUGGGCUGACACUGACGCUGAAGCGCGAAAGCUAGGGGAGCGAACGGG
rnacentral:rRNA from 1 species